rnacentral:rRNA from 1 species
UACAUGAGUGGCGAGCGUUAUCCGUAUUUAUUGGGCGUAAAGGAUGCGUAGGUUGUAAAAGAAGUUAUAAUCUACUAUAACAGUUUGUUGGGUCGAUUUAUAAUACCUUUUUACUAGAGUUUUUUUUAAGUGUAUGACGUUUGUAAACUAGUGAUAAAAUACUUUGAGUUUAUAAGUAUCUUCAAAUAUGAAAAUAAUAUGCUGAAAAAAACUGACUCUGAGGCAUUAAAGUAUGGGGAUCAAAUAGG